rnacentral:rRNA from 1 species
AUAUUAGUAAGCGGAGGAAAAGAAACCAACCGGGAUUCCCCUAGUAACUGCGAGUGAAGAGGGAUUAGCUCAAAUUUAAAAUCUGGCGGGUCCCCCGUCCGAGUUGUAAUUUGAAGAGGUGUCGACCGUGCCGGACCACGUGAAAGUCUCCUGGAAUGGAGCGUCACAGAGGGUGAUAAUCCCGUAUUUGACGUGGACUACCGGGACUUUGUGUUGCGCCCUCAAUGAGUCGGGUUGCUUGCGAAUGCAGCCCAAAAUGGGUGGUAAAUUCCAUCUAAGGCUAAAUACCGGUGGGAGACCGAUAGCGCACAAGUA